ensembl:lncRNA
UCUCUUUCUGCCUCUAUGCUUAAUACUUGAGGAGAAGAAGGAAUUGUUCCUGAAAUAAGAUAGAUUUUCUUAAGAUUUGUAUUUGAAGCUACUCUAGAAGCUUUUAGAAUUCGAGUAGAAUGCUUUAGUCUGCAGAGAGAGUCUAAAUUAAGCAAUAAAUUCAGUAUUAUGUUACUAGGCAUUAAUCAUGCUGACUGAGAGUGUUUUUUUUCAGAACAGCUAAGACAACACAGAUAUACAGUGCCUAUAAAAUGUAAUGGGAGCUACAUACAUGCAACUCUUGCACAGUUCUGAAAGUCUCUGCUGUAGUGACUUUAUGACUCUAUUUCAAAGCAAUUUUGAAAUCCUUUUGCCUCUUUUUUUUCUUUUUAAUGCAGCUGAUCACAGCAUUUUUCUUUGCAAAUUGUGAUUGGUUUCAACCAUGCCCUUCUGAAGGCUGAGUCAAUUUCAAAACUUAAAAAUAUGUCAGUUCUGAAGUGCUCUGCCUUUAAUAACAGUAAAGGAGCAAGGGGACAGAAAACAAGGUCAUGACCUGGAUUAAGAAUACUUUUGAUAGAUUAGGUAUAUGUUAGCAGUUUGGUUCUCUUUGGAAUGGAGAUUUGAGAAAUUUGCUGGUUUUUUUUGGAAUAGGUCACUCUUUCUGCAACUUUCAUUUGCUCUGCUUUCUUCUUGCCGUCAUUUCCUUGGCCCCAGGAAAGACUGCCUGACUUGUUUGUGUAAACCUGAUGACAGAACUUGGACAAACAGGAAGAAUUAGAAAUCAAUGGCAUAGCAGGUGGCAGACAAUCCAGGAGAUUCCUUGAGUUGAGGACAACUUCCUUGUCCAGGUAAUAGAUGGACCAACCUGAGGUGAAGCCUUACUGGACCUGUUGCUCAUCAAUGCAGAGGAGAGCAUUAGAGAGGUUAAGAUUGGAGGCAGCCUGGGCUGUAGUGACCAUGCCUUGGUGGAGUUUGUGAUCUUGAAGAAUGGCAAAAAGCAGAGCUAGGAGAGCAAACUUCCAACUGCUCAAGGAACUGCUGAGUGGGAUCCCCUGGGAAACUGUCCUUAAGGGCAUGGGUACAGAACAAAGCUGGCAGCUCUUUAAGGACACCCUUCUGAGAGUGCAACGGCUUUCCAUCCCCCAGCAGAAGAAGUCGAGCAGGGGAGGCAGGUGACCAUCAUGGCUGUGCAAGGACCUGCAGCUUAAACUGAGAGAAAAGAGGAAAAUGUACAGAAGUGGAAGUAGGGUUGUGUAUCCUGGGAGGAAUACAGGGCUGUUGUCCAUUUGUGUAGAGAUUGGAUUAGGAAAGCCAAGGUGCAGAUGGAGCUGAACUUGGCAAGGUAUGUGAAAGAUAACACAAAGGGGUUCUACAGGUACAAAGGCCGGAGGAGACAGGCCAAGGAGAGUGUUCCCCCUCUGAUGAAAGGUAAUAGGGAGCUGGCUUCCUCAGACAUAGAAAAAGCUGAGGUACUCAGUGAGUGCUUUGCCUCAGUCUUCAUGAGUGGUCAGGGUCUGCCAAGACCACGAGCAUCUAGGUGAAGGUGUGGGGAGUGGUUUCUGUCCCACUGUAAUGGUGGAACACGUCCAAGUCCUCUUCAUGAAACUGAACUUGUAUAAGUCCAUGGGGCCGGAUGAUAUCCAUCUUAGAAUUCUGAAAGAGAUGGUUGAUGUGGUUGCCGAGCUGCUCUCCGUCAUAUUUGAAAAAUCAUGGCUGUCUGAUGAAAUCCCCGGUGACUGGAAAAAGGGAAACAUUACUCCCACUUUUACGAAAGGGAGAAAGGAAGACCCAGGGAACUACAGGCUGGUGAGCUUCACCUCUGUGCCUGGAAAGAUCAUGGAGCAGAUCCUCCUAGAGGCUAUGCUAAGACACAUAUGAGAUAAAGAGGUAAUUCAAGACAGCCAGCACGGCUUCACCAAGGGCAGAAGUGCAGAUAUUGCCUGACCAAUCUGGUGACCUUCUAUGAUGAAGUUAUGGCUUCAGUGGAUGGGGGAAAGACGAUGAAUGUCAUCUACCUGGACUUCUGCAAAGCCUCUGACAUGGUCCCUUACCACAUCCUUCUCGCUAAAUUGGAGAGGUGUGGAUUUGAAGGACGGACUGUUCGAUGGAUUAGAAAUUGGCUGGCUGGAUGCAGCCAAAGGGUUGUAUUUAAUGGUUCUGUAUCAGGGUGGAGGCUGGUCACAAGCGGUGUCCCUCAGGGGUUGGUCCUGGGACCAGUGCUCUUCAACAUCUUCAUCAAUGACAUAGAUGAUGGCAUCGAGAGCACCCUCAGCAAGUUUGCAGAUGACACCAAGCUGAGCAGUGCAGUCGAUACAUUGGAACAAAGGCAGGCCAUCCAGAGGGACUUGGACAGGCUGCAGAAGUGGGCCCAUGAAAACCUGAUGAGGUUCAAUAAGGCCAAAUGCAGGGUGCUGCACUUGGGUUGGGGAAAUCCCAGUUACUUAUACAAACUGGGGAAGUACGCCUUGAGACCAGCUCUGCGGGGAAGGACUUGGGGGUCCUGGU